UUCUCCUCCCAACACAGGAGCAUCACCUGUUAGACAGAGAGGGAGAUCUGUGAGUGACAAUGGGCGCUAUUGUAGCAUUAGCAGUGUUGCUGGGGUCUUUAUCUUAUGGUCGCUGUGUUGAACUCACACAGCCAGGCUCUAUGGCUGUAAAACCAGGAGAGUCUCUGACCAUCUCCUGUAAAGUCUCUGGGUAUUCCCUGACGAGCUACUGUACAAACUGGAUCCGGCAGCCUGCAGGGAAAGCUCUGGAGUGGGUUGGAUAUAUAUGCUCUAGCGGGGGCACUGCUUAUAAAGAUUCACUAAAGAGCAAGUUCACCAUCACCAGAGACACCUCCAGCAGCACAGUGACUUUGCAGGGGAGCAGCCUGCAGACUGGAGACACAGCUGUGUAUUACUGUGCCCGAUACACACAGUGCAGUAAAGCCACAGCAGACCUGUACAAAAACCCACCCUGAUGAGUGUAGUGGCAGAACACAAUCAUUAAAGAGCUCUUUGAAGUUCAUGCCCCAAGUGGUUGGUACAUGAAUUACAGUAUUGUCUAUCGUUUGUGCUAUGUUUGCACUGAUGAAAUGUAAAUCCCAUAAUGGUUUAUGACCUGUGUUUGUAACUCAAAAUUUGUAAAUUGAAUUGCCAGUUGGAGAGUAUGCAUUGUAGAUUUGAAUAUUAUUUUUCUAGACUGUUUGUCUAAAGAUCCAUCUGCAUAAAUGGACUGUAUUUAAAAAAAU